rnacentral:lncRNA from 1 species
CUCGAUUUGUCUUUUUAACUCGUAACACUGCUCAGUGUCGUGCUCGUGUUGUCGAUGGAACCGGCAAUACUUUGAGCGGUCUGCGAGCUCUCGCGGGUUCUUCAUCGGGUGAGGGUCCCUGAGCAGCCCCUUCCCCCUUUCGUGUAGGAAUAUCUCAGUCCGGGAAGAGUUCAAGGCGGGAAGAGGAGGCCUUGGGUCGG